rnacentral:rRNA from 1 species
ACACUCCUACGGGAGGCAGCAGUGGGGAAUAUUGGACAAUGGGCGCAAGCCUGAUCCAGCCAUGCCGCGUGAGUGAUGAAGGCCCUAGGGUUGUAAAGCUCUUUCACCGGUGAAGAUAAUGACGGUAACCGGAGAAGAAGCCCCGGCUAACUUCGUGCCAGCAGCCGCGGUAAUACGAAGGGGGCUAGCGUUGUUCGGAUUUACUGGGCGUAAAGCGCACGUAGGCGGACUAUUAAGUCAGGGGUGAAAUCCCGGGGCUCAACCCCGGAACUGCCUUUGAUACUGGUAGUCUUGAGUUCGAGAGAGGUGAGUGGAAUUCCGAGUGUAGAGGUGAAAUUCGUAGAUAUUCGGAGGAACACCAGUGGCGAAGGCGGCUCACUGGCUCGAUACUGACGCUGAGGUGCGAAAGCGUGGGGAGCAAACAGGAUUAGAUACCCUAGUAGUCC